rnacentral:lncRNA from 9 species
AUGCUGUCCUGUGGCUGUGGCGCCCCAACAACUGUAGCUCCGAUUCAACCCUUAGCCUGGGAACUUCCAUAUGCUGCAAGUACAGCCCUAAAGAGGAAAAAAAAAAGAAGAAGAAGAAGAACCCUCUAUGACUCUCCAGGAUUCCCAGGACAGGGUCCCAGCUCCAUCUCUAGCACAGAAAUUUCUUUCCUGAGGCUGGAAAGAAAUCACAGCUCCCUGAACACCGCCCACCUGUAUACGCCCCCACCUUCCCUCACCUCCUUCUCUGGGCCUUGCUUCCUCUCCUUUGCUUGUAAUGAAGAGCUCAGGAAGGAUCUGAAGCAGGUGAGAAACGAAGCUAUUGAAAGAAAGUCGGUUUCUUCUAGAAUUCUCUCCCGCCUCCCACCUAAGAGGAAGCAGUUGAAGAAUGAAGUCAAGAAAUCGCCACCUAGGAGUUCCUUGUGGCACAGCAGGUCAAGGCUCCAGUGUUGUCACUGCAAUAGCUCUGGUCACUGCUGUGGUGUGGGGUUGAUUCAUGGUCCAGAAACUUCCACAUGCCUUGGGCACAGCCAGAGAAAAAAGAAAGGAAAGAAAAGUCACCCUUCAAAUCUGCACAUGGAGCAGGUAACAGCUGCAACCCCACUCCGGGCUGAUUCUUUGUAACUGGAUAUUGACCAAAGUCCUGAAUUAUUCUGAGACUUGGGAUUUUCGUAACCCUGGAAUAAGACACUCCUAUCCAAUCUCUUCCAGGCCUGAAAAACAGUAGGUGAUCAGGGGGAUGAAAGAAGCCUGAAGGAUAUGCAGAGGCUAGGGUUUCUUACAAAGACAAGGAUUUCAAUUUGUUUCAUCAUAAUGGCUCAGAACCAGACUCUGCUGCCAAGAGGCCUGGAUGAAAAUCAUUCUACACACCUCCUAGAGUAAUGACAAUAAAAACAAAAAUAAAGAAAUGGGACCUAAUUAAACUGAAAAUUUUUGCAUAGCAAAGGAAACCCUAAAUAAAAUGAAAAGACAGCCCACGGCACAGGAGAAAAUAUUUGCAAAUGAAGUGACUGACAAGGCAUUAAUCUCCAAAAUUUCUAAACACCUCCUGCAGCUCAAUAUCAAAAAAAAAAAACAAACAAUCCCAUCAAAAAAUGGGCAGAAGAUCUAAACAGACAAUUCUCCAAAGAAGACAUACAGAUGGCCAAGAAACACAUGAAAAGAUGUUCAACAUCACUCAUUAUUAAAGAAAUGCAAAUCAAAACUACUACAAGGUACCACCUUACACCAGCCAGAAUGGCCAUCAUCAGAAAGUCUACAAAUGAUCAGCGCUGGAGAGGUGUGGAGAAAAGGGAACCCUCUUACACUAUUGGUGGGAGUGUAAAUUGAUGCAACCAUUAUGGAAAACAGUACGUAGAAUUACCCUUUGAUCCAGCCAUCCCACUCCUGGGCAUUUAUCCAGAGAAAACCAUGACUGGAAAAGAUAUAUGUAUUCCAGUGUUGAUUGCAGCACUAUGUGCAAUAGCCAAGACACAGAAGCAACCUAAAUGUCCACCAGCAGAGCAGUGGAUAAAGAGAUAUGGUACAUAUACACAAUGGAACAUUACUCAGCCAUAAAAAAGAAAGAAAGAAUGGCAUUUGCAGCAACAUGGAUGGACCUAGAAAUUAUCAUGCUAAGUGAAGUUAGACAGCAAGACGCCAACAUUGUAUGCUAUCACUUAUAUGUGGAAUCUAAAAAAAAAGGAUACAAUGAACUUCUUUGCAAAACAGAUACUGAUUUAAGGACUUACUAGUCGAUUCAUUAACCACUGAGCCACGACAGGAACUCCUUGAUGGCUACUCUUUCCUCAUGACUGGAGGCUGCAUCUACAUGCUGAGCCAUUGACCUCAGACCCUACCCUGUGGCCUCCCUUCCUUCCAACUGUGGGUUGCCUCCUCCAGAGGAAGACAGUCCAUGCUUUGUCACAGUGUACAUCUUUGGCAUCACCGUCACCAUCACUGCUGUCAAACAUGAGUUCAAGUUUGCUUGGUUAAGAAUUACACUGUUUGAGAGUUCCCAUUGCGGUGCAUUAGCAACAAAUCUGCCUAAGAAUCAUGAGGUUUCGGGUUCCACCCUGGUCUCGCUCAGUGGGUGAAGGAUCUGGUGUUGCCAUGAGCUGUGGUGUAGGUCGCAGACAUGGCUUGGAUCCCACGUUGCUGUGGCUCUGGCGUAGGCCUGUGGCUACAGCUCUGAUUAGACCCCUAGCCUGGGAACCUCCAUAUGCCGUUGGUGCAGCCCUAAAAAGACAAAAGACAAAAAAAAAAAAAAAAAAGAAAAAAAGAAUUACACUGUAUGGAAUCCUGGGAAACCGCAUCCUUCACUGUCCCUCGUUUUUGUUUUCUCUAAAAUGGAGGCAGUUAUGCAGAUCCACAGAAUCUUAUGUAAAAUGAUUGAGGCCAGAUGCAUUACUGGUUUUGUAAUUUCAAACGGUUAUACCAUGCAAACGCUGCAUAUUAUAUAAUCAUCCUAGUGGGUAUUACAAAAUCACAAAUAAUAAUAUCUCUGUGGUGAUAUUCAUACCAAGUGGGAUAAAUUGAACCUAUAAGCAGCC